AUUGAACGCUGGCGGCAGGCCUAACACAUGCAAGUCGAGCGGUGCGGCGGACGGGUGAGCAAUGCCGAGGUAUCUGCCUGGUUGUGCGGGAUAACGUCCGGAACCGGGCGCUAAUAUCGUAUACUAUUAGACGAGCUUAUGUCGGAUUAGCUAGUUGGUGGGGUAAAGGCAUACCAAGGCGACGAUCCGUAACUGGUUUGAGAGGAUGAUCAGUCACACUGGAACUGAGACACGGUCCAGACUCCUACGGGAGGCAGCAGUGGGGAAUAUUGGACAAUGGGCGAAAGCCUGAUGCAGCCAUGCCGCGUGUGUGAAGAAGGUCUUCGGGUUGUAAAGCACUUUAAGUUGGGAGGCGUUACCAGCAGAAUAAGCACCGGCUAACUCCGUGCCAGCAGCCGCGGUAAUAC
rnacentral:rRNA from 1 species